CAAGAACAGAAAACUUGAAAUCAUCCAGAACUCCUUAUGUUCACCACAACUGAAACAACUGCAGACAGCAAUGCUGAACUGUCAAGACAUAUUAUAGAAAAAAGCAAAGAUGAUACUUCUCCUUGGUAAACAGAGGUUGUGUCUGGCCUGCUGCUGGCCCGUUCACUGAGGAUACGCUCUCUAUUUAGAAGAGAGGUUAAGCUAGCAGGAGACCAUUUGUGUUUCAUGGUGAUCUAUCCAGGGCUGUUUUCUGGAGGUGUGAGCUGAGGCAUCCCUGCUGCAGCCCUGACCGCAGGAUACAGCCUUCUGUUCUGGCUGCCUAUCAGAAAGAGUCCACGCAAACGCAGCAUGGCCUCAGCACAGCUGUGCAGUCAGACCACCAGUGACUUCAGGG
rnacentral:lncRNA from 1 species